GGAGUUAUGAAAUGUAGGAAUGUUAAUAGCAUUUCUAUUUGACUAAGGCUCCAGAGGAAGCCACGGCUAACUCUGUGCCAGCAGCCGCGGUAGUACAGAGGUGGCAAGCGUUGUUCGGAAUUAUUGGGCGUAAAGAGCACGUAGGCGGCCCUGCCGGUCAGUUGUGAAAGCCUUCCGCUCAUCGGAAGAACGGCAGCUGAUACUACAGGGCUAGAGUACGGGAGGGGAGAGUG
rnacentral:rRNA from 1 species